rnacentral:rRNA from 1 species
CAUGCAAGUCGAACGAAGUAGCAAUACUUAGUGGCAGACGGGUGAGUAACAUGUGGGUAUCUACCUUUUGGCCUGGAAUAACACGAGGAAACUUGUGCUAAUACUGGAUAAGUCUUUACGGAGAAAGCUUUAUGCACCAUUGGAUGAGCCCGCACUUGAUUAGUUUGUUGGUAGGGUAAUGGCCUACCAAGACUGUGAUCAAUAGCUGAUUUGAGAGGAUGAUCAGCCACAUUGGGACUGAGACACGGCCCAAACUCCUACGGGAGGCAGCAGUGGGGAAUCUUGCACAAUGGAGGAAACUCUGAUGCAGCGAUGCCGUGUGAGUGAAGAAGGCCCUUGGGUUGUAAAGCCCUUUCGUCGGGGAAGAAAGUGACUGUACCCGAAUAAGAAGGUCCGGCUAACUUCGUGCCAGCAGCCGCGGUAAUACGAAGGGACCUAGCGUAGUUCGGAAUUACUGGGCUUAAAGAGUUCGUAGGUGGUUGAAAAAGUUGGUGGUGAAAUCCCAGAGCUUAACUCUGGAACUGCCAUCAAAACUUUUCAGCUAGAGUUUGAUAGAGGAAAGCAGAAUUUCUAGUGUAGAGGUGAAAUUCGUAGAUAUUA